AUGAGAAGGCUAAGCAAAGGCCUUAAGGAAAUCGCUCUAGUCAGAGAAGGAAAAGUUGCGAAUUUUCCAUCAACGAAAGAAACGGCUGUUGGGCCCGUGGAGCUGGCUGAGGCGGCCGCGAUCCGUCAUCCCCGCGGGGGGGCUCCCGGCGCCCGCAAAUCACUCGGGAGAGCGACCGGGUCGGGGCUCAUCUGCCUCCCGGGGCAGCCGGUGAUAAACGACUCGCCUGAAACUCGGCUGGCAAUUUCAGAGGAAAAUCCGUUUUUAAUGGGCAACUUCAUGUACUUUCCUGGAACUUCUUCCAAAUGGAAAAGCGAGAAAAGUCAAUCACCUCACGAAGUCGGGAGCCCCCGCGGGGAGCGCGAUGACGUCGAGGGCUCGGAGCCAGCGGGCGGCGUCCAGGGAGGCCGUGGGGGCCCCGCCCUCGGGCAGGAGCCGGCAGGGGGCUCGUNNNNNNNNNNNNNNNNNNNNNNNNNNNNNNNNNNNNNNCCGCGGGCUGCAGACGCCAGGGAGUCGCGGAGGAGCCGGGGGCAGCGGGGUGGCGCAGGGUCACUCAACGGCCGGCACUCGCGCUCUCGUGGGAAGGCCGGAGCGUGGGGCCCCCUCGGGCUGCCCCCGGCCUUGCCCUCCCGGAUCCGGUCCAGAAUCUCACAAGGACACGCCGACCCCCGGCAGCCAGCGGAGACAGCGGGGAAACCGAGGCACCGCCCCAAGCCUGCUGCACGCGGCACCAGGCGGCUUCCGGGUGGGAGUGAAGCCACGAGCCAGCCCUUCGCCGCAGAAGCGAACGCUGACGCUGACGUGUUCACUUUCCCAAGGUCCGGGCUCCCCGCCCUGCAAGGGAAAUCUCCAUCUAAACUCGAGGCUGGUGAAGAUUCCAGGCUAAAGUGGUGGCCCAAGGAGCGGCAGCUCCUUACUGCAUGUGCUCCGCCCUUUCUUUCUAGACGGAUUCUUUUGCUUAAGAAAGUUCCCACAAAAAAUAAAAAAAUUUUUAAAAAAAGUUCCCACAAAUGGUAUUAA
rnacentral:lncRNA from 1 species